UACAUUUGCAGAUUGCCUCAGUAAAGAGGAAAUGAAAGUUAAAGUUGAAUAUCCACUCUCUCCGCCCACUCUCUUCUCCCACAGUUAUAACCUGGGACACAGCAUUAUAUGGAUUUAUAGGACAGAAGAACCUCCAGAGGCUGUGAGCUUAUACACUCACUGGCAAAAUGCUUCUGUUGUUUCUGUCUCUGGUUUUGGGAACUCCACAAGGACAAGGUCAAUUUCAAACUGCAAACUUAGGGGUUAAAGUAACGUGUGACAAUGCAUUGGUUCCAAAAGACCAGCAAGUGACACUGUGCUGUACAGUGGAUUACACUGCCAUACAAACUCCCAACCAUGGGAUGGAGGGGACUUCAAAUGACACAACAUGUGUUACUAAGUGGUGUGCAUGGAAGCGUUCAAAUGAUGUACUAUUUAAUUGUGUAAACAACAGUCACAUGAAAGAAAUGGAAGCACCGCUACGACACUACUGUUAUAAGAAAGAAAAUGUUACAAAAGCUGAUGAGGGUAAUUACACUUUUUCCAUUGGCACAGACUGUGGGGUUGAUUCAGGGACAGCAAGCGUUUUCAUUGUUGCAGUUACUGCGAAAAGUGUUGACAACAGGAGAGACCAACAAUUAAGGUUAUUCCUGGUUGUUAUCAUCAUCGUCAUCGCUGUUCCGGGCGUUCUAUUGUUUCUCAAAACUUCUCGUUCUGGCAGAGGAUUGAUGGAACGACUCAAGAGUUCUAUGACCCAGAGCAACAACAACACUGAUGAGAGCCCUGAAGGUUCAAGAGAGGCCGUUACCCUGGUGUCUGCGUAACAUUCAGCGUGAGCCAGUUGGCUUGUUGGUUCUUUCGAAAUGAACUCAAUGUUGACCUCUGCUAUGUUGCUGUAUGUCAGAUGCAUUCUACACCAAUAAAACACUACUCACUUUUGCACCUAAAUUAGUUUUGCACCAACAUUUGUGGAAUCAGUUAGUGAAAUCACUAAUAAUUGUCUUUCACAUAAAAAAAGGGUGCUAUCUAGAACCUAACAGAGUUCCCUCGGCAUCCCCAUAGGAGAACCCUUUAAAUAACUCUGGUUCCAGGUAGAACCCUUUUCAUAACCCUUACUAAGCUUGUUUAUAAAGGGAGUUGGUUUUGGUCUAUAUAUACACAUUGAUGUGUUGUAAUAUUCUGUAAUAUUCUGCUCAUCUCACAAGCAUUGUUUUCAUAACUACUAAACUAAGCUUGUUUUUAAUUUUAGCCUAAACUGAUGUAAUAUUCUGGGAUUCAUGUUUUUUUUUAUGAAUAUAAAAUGUUAUUGAUUUGUGUACAAAUAAACUUUUGGAAAUAACCAGU